UGCGUAGGCGGAUUAAUAAGUCAGUGGUGAAAACCUGCAGCUUAACUGUAGAACUGUUAUUGAUACUGGUUUUCUUGAAUAUAGUUGAGGUAGGCGGAAUGUGUAAUGUAGCGGUGAAAUGCUUAGAUAUUACACAGAACACCGAUUGCGAAGGCAGCUUACUGGGCCAUUACUGACGCUGAGGCACGAAAGCGUGGGGAGCGAACAGGAUUAGAUACCCUGGUAGUCC
rnacentral:rRNA from 1 species